rnacentral:lncRNA from 1 species
GUCAGGAAAGAAAGAGUAGGAAUCACUAAAUUUACACAGUGGAUGGAGACAAACAAGAUGUGUGAACAAGCCAGAGAAUUAACAUAUGCAGAAUUCCCGUCAAAAUGGGUGUGGAAAAAGAAAGAGACAAAGUGGAGCAAAAGGAAGAAAGGAAGAUCAGUUGGAAGGAUAUAUUAUGCCCAUCCAGCAAGCGGAGAAAAAUACUAUAUGCGAAUGCUACUUAACGUCAAGAAAGGAUGCACAUGUUUCGAAGACAUAAGAACAGUAAAUGGAGUUGUCCACGCAUCAUACAAAUCUGCUUGUGAAGCACUAAGAUUUCUUGAUGAUGACAAAGAGUGGCUUGAGUGCAUCAAGGAGGCAUCAAAUUGGGCGACUGGCAACCAGCUAAGGCAGCUAUUCACAACAAUUUUAAGCCACUGCGAAGUCACAUGCCCAAAAAAACUGUGGGAAUCAUGCUCGGAGGUAUUAAGUGAAGACAUGGAGUACAAACAGAGAAAAUUAUUGAACUAUCCUACACUAUGCCUCACAGAAUCACAGAAGCAAGGACACGCCUUGGUGGAAAUAGAGAAGCUCAUGAGACAAGCUGGAAGAACACUUAAGGAAUACCCUGGAAUAGAACUUCCUGAAUCUUCGGAAAUAAAGGAACUUGGAAACAAGCUACUCAAUGAAGAAAUUGAUUACAACAAAGAGCAACAAAAUGAAGAGCAUUUGAAGAUCUUUGGUAGUCUCAACUAUGAACAACGUCUUGCAUUUGACUCAAUAAUGGAAUCUGUUGACAAUGAUUUGGGAAAACAAAUUUUUGUGGACCGAUAUGGUGGGACAGGUAAGACAUACCUAUGGAA